UACGGAGGGUGCAAGCGUUAUCCGGAUUCACUGGGUUUAAAGGGUGCGUAGGUGGGCUAGUGAGUCCGUGGUGAAAUCUCCAAGCUUAACUUGGAAACUGCCGUGGAUACUAUUAGUCUUGAAUAUUGUGGAGGUAAGCGGAAUAUGUCAUGUAGCGGUGAAAUGCUUAGAUAUGACAUAGAACACCGAUAGCGAAGGCAGCUUGCUACACAAUCAUUGACACUGAGGCACGAAAGCUGGGGAUCAAACAGG
rnacentral:rRNA from 1 species